GGGGCAUGCCUGUUUGAGAGUCAUUAAAUUCUCAACCUUACAAAUUUUUGUAUUUGUCAAGACUUGGAUGUGAGAGUUGCUGGUUAGAGUAUAUUGUGACUGGCUCUAUUUAAAACUAUUAGUAGGACAUGUAGAAAUGCCUACGGUUGGUGCGAUAAUAAGUGUACGCCUAUACCGGAAGGGGGAUUCUAGCUUGUAUGUACUACUUAUAAAAUCAUGCGCAUAUAUCUAGCAUAUAAGUGCAUAUAUUGACCAUUUGACCUCAAAUCAGGUAGGACUACCCGCUGAAGUUAAGCAUAUCAAUAAGCGGAGGAA
rnacentral:rRNA from 1 species